rnacentral:rRNA from 1 species
GAUGAACGCUGACAGAAUGCUUAACACAUGCAAGUCAACUGUGGCGGACGGGUGAGUAACGCGUACAGAACUUGCCUCACAGUUAGGGACAACAUUUGGAAACGAAUGCUAAUACCUGAUACUGUGAGAGAGCUUUGCGUCCCAUUAGCUAGUUGGAGAGGUAACGGCUCACCAAGGCGAGGAUGGGUAGCCGGCCUGAGAGGGUGAUCGGCCACAAGGGGAAUGGGACACGGGCAGUAGGGCUACGGGAGGAAGUAGUGAGGAAUAUUGGGAAAAGGACCAAAGUCUGAUCCAGCAAUUCUGUGUGCAAGAUGAAGUUUUCGGAAUGAAAAGUGCUUUAAGUUGGGAAGCGGUACCUACAGAAGAAGUGACGGCUAAAUACGUGCCAGCAGCCGCGGUAAUUC